UACGUAGGGGGCAAGCGUUGUCCGGAUUUAUUGGGCGUAAAGCGCUCGCAGGUGGUUCGUCGCGUCGUGCGUGAAAGACCCCGGCUCAACUGGGGGAGGUCGUGCGAUACGGGCGGACUGGAGGCCAGUAGGGGGAUGCGGGAUUCCGGGUGUAGUGGUGGAAUGCGUAGAGAUCCGGAGGAACACCAGCGGCGAAGGCGGCAUCCUGGACUGGUCCUGACACCCAUGAGCGAAAGCGUGGGGAGCGAUCCGG
rnacentral:rRNA from 1 species